rnacentral:lncRNA from 1 species
UAACUAUAGUAAAGCGCCUUCGGAAGACAGAGUCGUGGAUGAAUAACAGCGACUGCUGUAAUUGGGAGGGUAUCACGUGCAACCCCAAUUCCGGUGAAGUGAUCGAGCUAAACCUUAGUUGCAGCAACCUACGUGGCAAGUUUCAUUCUAAAAGCAGUCUUCGAAACCUUCAUUCUCUAACGACUCUACUCCUUUCAAAUAAUGAAUUUAGUGGUCCAAUCAUGUCUUUAAUUGGAAACCUUUCUCAUCUCACGUCUCAGGACCUUUCGCGAAAUGGUUUGAGCGAGUUCAUUCCUUCUUCGAUAGUAGACCUUUCUUAUCUCACCUUUCUCGAUCUUUCAUCUAAUAGUUUUUCUGGUCCGAUUUCGUCUUUGAUUGGAAACCUUUCUUAUCUCACCUUUCUCGAUCUUUCAUCUAAUAGUUUUUCUGGUCCGAUUCCAUCUUCAAUUGGAAAUCUUUCUCAUCUCACCUAUCUUAACCUUAAAGAUAGUGAAAUUUCGGGUACGAUUCCAUCUUCUAUUGGAAAUCUUUAUAACCUCACUUAUCUUGACCUUUCUUACAACAAUAUUGUUGGAGAAAUCCCAUCUUCUUUUGGCAAUCUAAACCAGUUGACCAGCUUAUCUGUUGGUCUCAAUAGGCUAAAUGGACGCUUUCCCAUUGCAAUACUAAAUUUGACAAAGUUGUCAUCUUUAGGACUCUAUGACAAUCAGUUCACAGGAACAAUUCCUCAUAACAUCACUUCACUAUCCAAAUUGACGACCUUUGAUGGAAGUAACAACGCUUUCACUGGGACCCUGCCUUCUUCUUUCUUCACCAUUCCUUCUAUGUAUAGUGUUGAUUUGUCUGAUAAUCAAUUCAACGGUAUUCUUGACCUUGGGAAUAUAUCUUCACCACCUCAGCUAGGACUGUUAUACGUUGGCAAUAACAACUUGAGAGGGCCAAUCCCAGCCACGAUAUCAAAAUUUACCAACCUUGUCGAACUUGAGCUUUCCCAUUACAAGACACAAGGUCCAGUUGACUUUAGUAUCUUCUCGCAUCUCAAGUUGCUCCAAGAUCUUGACCUAUCCUAUUUGAACACAACCACUGCCAUUGACUUGAAUGAUUUCUUGUCAUAUUUUAAGCGCCUCGGUGUGUUGGUUCUCUCAGGCAACCAUGUUACAGCCACAAACAAGAGUCCAGUUCCCGUUUCCCCUUUGUUGCAUCAGUUGCACUUGUCGGGCUGCGGUAUCACCAAGCUUCCGGAGUUUGUAAGAUUGAAAAAUUUGGAGAGUCUAGACAUUUCCAACAAUAAAAUCAAAGGGCAAGUGCCUGGCUGGUUAUGGACACUACCAAAGCUGAGUUACCUGGAUCUUUCUAACAACACUUUCACUGGCUUCAAAAGCUCAACGAAACAUGGACUAUCUUUAAAAUAUUUGUUAGCCUCUGACAACAAUUUCACAGGAGAGAUUCCCUCAUUCAUAUGCGAUCUGCGUGGUUUAUUCAUUCUUGAUUUAUCAAACAACAACUUCAGUGGUGUAAUCCCUCCUUGUAUGGAAAAUCUCUAUCUGGCAGUUCUAAAUAACAGCGACUGCUGUAAUUGGGAGGGUAUCACGUGCAACCCCAAUUCCGGUGAAGUGAUCGAGCUAAACCUUAGUUGCAGCAACCUACGUGGCAAGUUUCAUUCUAAAAGCAGUCUUCGAAACCUUCAUUCUCUAACGACUCUACUCCUUUCAAAUAAUGAAUUUAGUGGUCCAAUCAUGUCUUUAAUUGGAAACCUUUCUCAUCUCACCUCUCUGGACCUUUCGCGAAAUGGUUUCAGCGAGUUCAUUCCUUCUUCGAUAGUAGACCUUUCUUAUCUCACCUUUCUCGAUCUUUCAUCUAAUAGUUUUUCUGGUCCGAUUUCGUCUUUGAUUGGAAACCUUUCUUAUCUCACCUUUCUCGAUCUUUCAUCUAAUAGUUUUUCUGGUCCGAUUCCAUCUUCAAUUGGAAAUCUUUCUCAUCUCACCUAUCUUAACCUUAAAGAUAGUGAAAUUUCGGGUACGAUUCCAUCUUCUAUUGGAAAUCUUUAUAACCUCACUUAUCUUGACCUUUCUUACAACAAUAUUGUUGGAGAAAUCCCAUCUUCUUUUGGCAAUCUAAACCAGUUGACCAGCUUAUCUGUUGGUCUCAAUAGGCUAAAUGGACGCUUUCCCAUUGCAAUACUAAAUUUGACAAAGUUGUCAUCUUUAGGACUCUAUGACAAUCAGUUCACAGGAACAAUUCCUCAUAACAUCACUUCACUAUCCAAAUUGACGAC